UACGUAGGGUGCGAGCGUUAAUCGGAAUUACUGGGCGUAAAGCGUGCGUAGGCGGCGCGCUAAGACAGGUGUGAAAGCCCCGGGCUUAACCUGGGAAUGGCGCUUGUGACUGGCGGGCUCGAGUGCGGCAGAGGGAGGUGGAAUUCCACGUGUAGCAGUGAAAUGCGUAGAGAUGUGGAGGAACACCAGUGGCGAAGGCGACUCUUUGGCCUGUAACUGACACUGAGGCGCGAAAGCGUGGGGAGCAAACAGG
rnacentral:rRNA from 1 species